rnacentral:tRNA from 1 species
AGUUGAUUUGUAAUCAUCAGGUGGCGGGUUCGAGUCCUGCAGCCGGCACCA